rnacentral:lncRNA from 1 species
GAAAGGACUGACCAGCUGCCAUGUGGAGGAUAAACUGUGAGGUCCAUAACAGUAACAGGGAGACAAUAAAAAAAAAAAAAAGGCCCUGUGGCAGCCAGCUUGAGCCUGGUGGUGUGGCAGUUUUGGUGGGUGGGUAUGUAGUGGGAGAUUCUAGAUGUCAUUUGAAGGGAGGAAGUAAUGGGAUUGUCAGUGGCUGAUACUAUAUCAAAGAGUGAGAUAUGGCUCAGCCACCAACAUCUGGAGCUGAAAGAGCAACUGGAAGGCAGGUACAAUGGAAGCUAUGAGUGCACAGGAGCACCUGGGCUAAGGAAGCAGUCCCUGGACAUUAGGGAAGGGUCAGGGGGAACGUGCCUAGGAAAGAGCUCAGGGGAAGUUGAGGAAGCAUCAAGCACUUUGCUUGGUUAAGGACUGCAAAAGAUGAAGUAUCAAAAGUCUUCCUAGGACACUAACCAUGAAGGGUUGCAGAAGUGAGGCAACAGCUGAACGGGACCGUGAAACUGGGGUAGGAGCAAGCACAUGCUGAGGAAUGAGGUCGAUGAGCCAUAGCACCUCAUUUGGGUGAUAAGCAAUUGGAGACACUCUCUUCCAGACCAACCUGAUUCCCUUGUUUUUCCCAGAAGCCUCAGCCACAAUGUAGGGUUUAUCUUUCCUAGAGAAGUCUUUGAUGUGAAGUUACCCUGAAAAGCCGGAUCUGGUGCUGCAUACCUGUCAUUCCAGCACUGGGUAAGGGAGCAAUGCUGAAACAGGAGAGCUGGAGUUUGAAACCAGCCUGAUCUGUAUGCUGAAACCCUGACUAAAACAAACAAACAAACAAACAAACAAACAAGCAGAAAAGUCUUUCUGCUAUAGGCAAAUGGGCUAUAAAUUAAAGCUCCAUGAUUUACACCCAUCCCCCUCCUCCCCAGUCACCACCCAGGCCAAUACUUACACCUACAAGAAUAUUCGUAGUCGGCUCAGGAAGUGACAGGGUCUGACUCAGCAGACAGAAAGAGCCUGGAAACAUCAUCUGGACAUGGGAUGUUGCAGGCCACCAGAGGGUCAUCAGACCCUUAGUCAGAAGCUGUGUGUCAGGCACAGAGGCGGAAUCGAGGCCCCAAGCAAACCAAGGUCAUCAACGUUCAGCAGGACAUGGAGGCUGGGCAGGGAUUCUGGUGAAAGAUUUCAGGGUUGAUCCCAUUGGACAAACUGACAGUGAAGUAUGUAAAGAGGAUGGGCUAGGAGCUAGUGAAGUGCCUCUGAAAUCUGGCUAGAACCCUGGGCCCAGAAAGUCAUGAAGAUGGUGAGGAUGGGAGAGUGAAAGUUCCAGUGGACCUCCAAGGGAGGCACCUGGGAGCAGUAGGAGUGGGCUAUGAAAAGCAGGCCUGAUUGGAUAUGGUACUCAAAGCAUUGACGGCAUCUAGGUGGUCAGAUAGACCUUGAGGGCUGUUGAAGGCCCUGGGGAAGUGUAGGUGUGGAGAAGCUUUAUGUGUGAAAAACCCAGACAGGAGGCCAAGGAGAGGCCAGGACACGCUGUGGGCUGGAGCAUGGCAUGAGCUCAUCUCAUCUUUGGCUGCAGCUUAGCCAGAAACACCAAACUCCAGAUCAGGAAGAAGGAAUCCCAGGGUCUUGGAGAUGCCUGCAGGCACCUAUCACAAGGCCUGCCUUCCAGAACAGGCAGUUGCUGCUUUGCCUGAACCAGUCAGUCUCCCUGGAGGUACCUGUGCCCUCCAGCCUUCAGGUGGUUGAAAAUGCCCAAUCUUAAGAUCAACAGCUCCAGACUUCAGUGCCUGCAAGAAGGAAGCUGGAGCAGAGCUGACUCAUUCUCAGAUCUUACCCUCAAGAUGACUCAGAACACUGAAGCCGGUAGCCCUCUGAACCAGAGGCACUGUAAUCUUUCACACAUGGCAUGCAUGUGAUAUACAGGUGCUGGUACAUCGGGCACUCUGUGCUUGGAUCUAGCAGAGGAAGAAGCAAAUGGAAUAGGCCAGAGCAGCAGCAGCUGUAAAAGGCAGGGAGGACCAUAUGAGAGUUUCCUUGUGGCCUGAAUUUUUUUCUUUAGGGAAGGACUUUGGAGUUGAGGCAGCUGCAAUGAGACCCAUGAAUAGGUUUGAACAGGGGGUCUGGCCUGACCACGUGAGGUCCGAUUAAUGUGUUGUGGCCAAUCACCUGGGCAUUGUUGGAAGACUUAACAGAUUCUCCCAGAGUCAAGGACAACAAUGUGCUGCUCAUUUUCUUUUUUGUGACAUGGUGGUAUAGCAGACAACUGGAAUUUAGUGAUGUCCCCAGCAUCAACAUUCCAGUCUUGCCCUAGAAAACCUAAUGAAGCAACGUUGGCUUUGAAUUAUUUUUUUCUCAUUAAAAUUGGUGAUAGCUUUCCAUUUCUUUUUUUUUCCAUUUUUUAUUAGGUAUUUAGCUCAUUUACAUUAGCUUUCCAUUUCUAUGUUAACCCUAUUUAAGCAGCCAGUCUGAGAACAGCUAGCCAUCUACAAUCUAAC